rnacentral:snRNA from 1 species
AAAACUCAAGUGAUCAAGCGGUC